rnacentral:rRNA from 1 species
UACAGAGGGGGCAAGCGUUGUUCGGAAUUACUGGGCGUAAAGGGCGCGUAGGCGGCCAACUAAGUCAGACGUGAAAUCCCCAGGCUCAACCUGGGAACUGCGUCUGAUACUGGAUGGCUUGAAUUCGGGAGAGGGAUGCAGAAUUCCAGGUGUAGCGGUGAAAUGCGUAGAUAUCUGGAGGAAUACCGGUGGCGAAGGCGGCAUCCUGGACCGACAUUGACGCUGAGGAGCGAAAGCUAGGGGAGCAAACGGG